CGGAUUGCAGGCUGCAACUCGCCUGCAUGAAGCUGGAAUUGCUAGUAAUCGCGGAUCAGCAAGCCGCGGUGAAUACGUUCCCGGGCCUUGUACACACCGCCCGUCACACCAUGAGAGUCGGGAACACCCGAAGUCCGUAGUCUAACCGCAAGGGGGGCGCGGCCGAAGGUGGGUCCGGUAAUUGGGGUGAAGUCGUAACAAGGUACC
rnacentral:rRNA from 1 species